rnacentral:rRNA from 1 species
UAGGGAAUCUUCGGCAAUGGGGGGAACCCUGACCGAGCAACGCCGCGUGAGUGAAGAAGGUUUUCGGAUCGUAAAGCUCUGUUGUAAGAGAAGAACGAGUGUGAGAGUGGAAAGUUCACACUGUGACGGUAUCUUACCAGAAAGGGACGGCUAACUACGUGCCAGCAGCCGCGGUAAUACGUAGGUCCCGAGCGUUAUCCGGAUUUAUUGGGCGUAAAGCGAGCGCAGGCGGUUAGAUAAGUCUGAAGUUAAAGGCUGUGGCUUAACCAUAGUACGCAUUUGAAACUGUUUAACUUGAGUGCAGAAGGGGAGAGUGGAAUUCCAUGUGUAGCGGUGAAAUGCGUAGAUAUAUGGAGGAACACCGGUGGCGAAAGCGGCUCUCUGGUCUGUAACUGACGCUGAGGCUCGAAAGCGUGGGGAGCAAACAGG